rnacentral:lncRNA from 1 species
UUUAUAACACAUUGAAUUCAUACAAAAUUAUGGCAUUAACAAAAUUAUCUAAUCAAUUAUGAAUUAAUUCUUAUUCAUCAUGAAUAAGAGUAAAAAAAUAAUCUAAUAAAUUAUUAAUUGAAUCCUAUUAAUCAUUAAUUAAUUCUUAUUCUAUUCAAUUAUUAUGCAUUUAUUAAUUUAAAAAUAAAUACUAAUAAUUAAA